AAUAAAGUGCCUGAAAAAGGAUUAUUUUGAUGUAAUAAUUUAUAUGAAUUAAAAUUUUAUUCAUCUUUAUUA
rnacentral:tRNA from 1 species